UACGUAGGGUGCAAGCGUUGUCCGGAAUUAUUGGGCGUAAAGAGCUUGUAGGCGGUUUGUCGCGUCUGCUGUGAAAUUUCGGGGCUCAACCCCGAACUUGCAGUGGGUACGGGCAGACUAGAGUGUGGUAGGGGAGACUGGAAUUCCUGGUGUAGCGGUGAAAUGCGCAGAUAUCAGGAGGAACACCGAUGGCGAAGGCAGGUCUCUGGGCCGUUACUGACGCUGAGGAGCGAAAGCGUGGGGAGCGAACAGG
rnacentral:rRNA from 1 species